rnacentral:rRNA from 1 species
AUGGAGGAGGCGAAGAAGGGGGGGAUCUUCGAGGGGAACACCAAGUCGAGCUCCAUGGAGGGGGCGGAGAAGGGGGAGAUCUGCGAGAGGAACACUAAGCCGAGGCUGGACGACCAUCCGCAGGUGACAGCGGCGGGGGCGGCCAGUCUGUUCAACGUCGACCUCAUCCUGGAGAUCCUCUCCCGCCUCCCAGCCAGAUCCGUCCACCGCUUCAAGUGCGUAUCAGUGCUCUGGCGCGACCUCAUCGCCGACCCCGCCAACCACAAGAAGCUGCCCCAGACCCUUGCCGGCUUCCUCUACACAUCCUUCUACAACAACGGAUAUCGCCACCACUUCGCCAGUUUCUCCGGCGGCGCAGCCUCCUUCGACCCCUCCCUCCCUUACCUACAUCCUAACUAG